ensembl:lncRNA
GAUAAUUGCUUCCCAUUGUGACGCAGAGCGAGCUCAGGCCAGGGAGUGUGUAUGUGUGUGUUUGUGAGGUGGCUGUGUCUUAUGUGAGGGGUAAGACGUAGAGUGACUAACUUAUGAAAAAGUUUACAGCAGGACUUUAAUAGAGCAACAGGAGGGUGAGUUGACCACUUGUACCCAAUGUGGAUCUGCAGGAUGCAUCUGAAGUUAUGCAUGGUAACCAAAGGAUAUAUGAUGCGUCAUAAUAAUGCCUGAAGGUAAGAGUAAGCUAUAUGCAAACCUGAUGUUCAGAAAUUAUCAACUUAAUGCAUAUUCACCUCUAUUACUGGAAAGUAUUGUGAUUUUCAUAGCAGAUUGGUGUAACGUAAUACGCUGGGAGUCAGGGGCAGGUGCAGAAGGUGAGUUUAAUAAUGAAUCGAAGCAGAUGAACAAAAUGUGAGAAGCGUACAGAACGUGAGAGAAAACAAUACUACCUAGUGACUGCUGUCAACUGAGGGCUAAAUAAAGGGGGAGUAAUCAAGGAGAUAAUGAUGACCAGGUGUGCGUAAUGAUUGUUGCCAGGGCCGGUGGUUAGCAGACCGGCGACGCCUAGCGCUGGAGAGAGGGAGCGGGAGUAGGCGUGACAAUUGUUGCUGUGUGUACUGAGCCUUUUGCACACUUGUUGUUGACUUGCAUGUUCUGUAAGGAGAAAGGACGGAGCUGUGCGAUCAAACGUAUGUUUGAAAUAUGGACCAGUCCUUAUUUACAGUUGAGCACCACGGCAGGCAAGCAGUCUACACUUGACCUUGAUCAGAACAGAACACAGCAGGCAGGGCUCUGAGAGGGCCCUGGAGGAAGUCCUAAUCCUAUUGCUGAGAGACAAAAACACCAUCCUCAGAGCCAAAUGUCUCUUCAGAAAUACCAUGCCUGACCAUCCAGGCAGCAGCCACCAGCUCACUCCAUUAGCUACCACAAUUAAAGUAGCCCUGGCUGGGCAUCCCAGCUUAUUAAAUUGAAACGGAUGGUGCAUUAGUGGUAGCUGCAGGUCAGGGAAAGGUAACAUUAGAGGUAGUACACACAGAGAGAUGAGACCCCUUCAGAUCAGUUACUAUUGCAGUUUUAUAUUUUGAGAUGAAAAGAGUAAACCUGAUGUACACUGUCAUGACUGGCCUGUUUGGGUCAGGAUACCAUAGACCAUAAUCCUACAGCGAUAUCUCUCACACCCACCAGCGGGGGAGAGAUCGAGAGUUAUGGAGGUGGGGGAUUUCAUUACACCUCCCACCCAUUGUAAAUCUUAAGGCAGCAGACAAAAUCCCCUUUGUCCUCUCAGUAUGGAGGGAUGGAAUGUAUGAUGGGCCUAUGGAGAAUCUACCUCUGAACAGUAACAUGCAAUAAAUGGACUUUGGGACAAUAUGUUUCGUGGUAGUAGUGACAAUAGAUGGAAUAUGAAAUGAUAUGAGUGUCGUUUUUGUUAUGUUAUUAAAAGUUAAAUGACGACGUUAUAACGAAAACAUUAUAACUUGAAGAGUUUUCACACUAUGUACUUGAGGUUUGCAUACUGUACGUUGUGUGGAAAAUGUCCAGAUCAAAGAUAUUGUAUUUGUAAAGAUGUAAUGUGAAGUUAGUUGUCUAAAUUGGAUCUGAGUAAAAUCCAGACCUUGCAUCGUAGCUAGUUACGACCAGAGAACUUGCCCUAAAGGUGGAAACGCCCAUUUCUGACCAGAGGGUAUAAAACACGUGAGUUCAGAGCUAAUAUAGCAGACUAAGCAACCACGAGCUCCAGCCAAUGUCCGAAUUAGUUGUGUACCCAAAAUUCAACACAAGGUUGAAGAAGACUAAGGAACCUGAAGAGGGUUAAACCAAGGCCUCAUACCUUUUAAAGGGUUAAUAUAUUGUGCUAUGAUAAACUCUGUGUGUGUGUGUUAAAACCUGUUUCGAGUGUUGUGCCCUUCAGACACUAUCAGAAGACUGAAACCGCCUACAGUACGUUCAUACUCCUCCUGUCUGGGACCCACCAUGGUUAUCUGAGGUUCUGAAAACACAAGGCUGCCGCAAGCCUGAUGAAAACAGCCACCUGUCAGAAUAUGCUUGGACUCGUUCACCUUGUUAUGACUCUAUACUUGUGAUGGAAGGUCAAGUUUCUGUCAACCCACUUCUGAGCUUUUAAUUGCUGAUAAGAUGGUUGCUGCUGUCAGGGUGAGGUUAGAUUUAUUAAAAUGUUGUUGUCAGGGAAACUCACGCAAGGAGGACUGGGAGAGGCUCUAUGAGUUACAGGAUGUCUUAGACAUUUUGCACAACCUGGGGAGAGCUAUUAUGUACUGUACUCUGUACCAACUUCUGCAUACAAUUGUAUUACUAAAGGAGUAUUAUAAUACUUAAACAAAGAGUCUGUGUUUCCUUUCCAAUACUAAUGUAUGUUUGAUAAUUAUACAGACCUGAUCAUCUGUUGAAGAAAUUGACUAACAAACCUUUUUACAAUCUAUGCUACGGAUGAGUAACUGUGUCUAAGAGGGUGAAUUCAAGCAGGACCACCGGGUCACCACUCUCCAAGGAAUCGUGUGUCUAAACUACUUUCAUUCCCACACUGGAACCAUCUACACAGCUGAUUAGCCAUCCUCUGAAGAACCCUUUUCAGAGCAAGGACGAGGAAACAUUCCACUAAGAGUAAGGACACUGACAUCGUGAGGACAAACAGAGAGUUACACCUGGCAACCGAAGGUGUGCUGUCAUCGGAGAAGUCAGAACGCGG